UACAGAGGGCUCAAGCGUUGUUCGGAUUCAUUGGGCGUAAAGGGUGCGUAGGUGGCUUGGUCAGUCGGAUGUGAAAUCCCGGGGCUCAACCCCGGAACUGCAUUCGAUACUGCCGCGCUAGAGUACUGGAGAGGAGAUUGGAAUUUACGGUGUAGCAGUGAAAUGCGUAGAUAUCGUAAGGAACGCCGGUGGCGAAAGCGGCGUACUGGACCUCUUCUGACGCUGAGGCGCGAAAGCGUGGGGAGCAAACGGG
rnacentral:rRNA from 1 species